CUCAAACAGCGUGUCAGCCAUCUGAGGGAUGUUUACAUUGGUGGUGUUGGUGGCUGACACCAGGUCUGCAGCACAACCGCAAGGAUGAAAAGAGCCUCUCUGGACACUCAAGAGAGUUUUAAGCCUGGAGGAAGACCUGAUGAGCAAAGAGGUAGCAUGUGGCCAGAUUCUCACAAACGCAAUGACACUGAAGAG